CAGCGGAGCAUGUGGUUAAUUCGAAGCAACGACGAAGAACCUUACCAGAUCUUGACAUCCAAUUGACCAUCUUUUAAUCGAGAUUUUGCCUUCGGGUACAAUUGAGACAGGUGGUGCAUGGUUGUCGUCAGCUCGUGUCGUGAGAUGUUGGGUUAAGUCCCGCAACGAGCGCAACCCUUGUGUUUAGUUGCAAACAGGUCAAGCUGUGCACUCUAGACAGACUGCCGUGGACAACACGGAGGAAGGUGGGGAUGACGUCAAAUCAUCAUGCCCCUUAUGAUCUGGGCUACACACGUGCUACAAUGGCCGGUACAACGGGCAGCGAAGGAGCGAUCCGGAGCGAAUCCUAAAAAGCCGGUCCCAGUUCGGAUUGCAGGCUGAAACUCGCCUACAUGAAGUUGGAGUUGCUAGUAAUCGCGAAUCAGAAUGUCGCGGUGAAUGCGUUCCCGGGUCUU
rnacentral:rRNA from 1 species